rnacentral:rRNA from 1 species
AUUGAACGCUGGCGGCAGGCCUAACACAUGCAAGUCGAGCGAGCGGCGGACGGGUGAGUAAUGUCUGGGAAACUGCCUGAUGGAGGGGGAUAACUACUGGAAACGGUAGCUAAUACCGCAUACCAUCAGAUGUGCCCAGAUGGGAUUAGCUAGUGGGUGGGGUAAUGGCUCACCUAGGCGACGAUCCCUAGCUGGUCUGAGAGGAUGACCAGCCCCACGUGAACGGAGACACGGCCCAGACGCCUACGAGAGGCAGCAGUGGGGAAUACUGCACAAUGGGGGCAAGCCUGAUGCAGACAUGCCGCGUGUGUGAAGAAGGCCUGCGGGGUGUAAAGAACUUUCAGCGGGGAGGCGUUACCCGCAGAAGAAGCACCGGCUAACUCCGUGCCAGCAGCCGCGGUAAUAC